AGAGUUCAAGAGUACGUGAAACUGUGUGGCAGUAAACGAAGCCUUCCUCGAAGUUGUCUGAACGGACCCAUCCUAGGGGCUGUGUCACCCUUUCUGGUAGGAUCAGCAAUGACUUACUAGGGAGUGUGUUGGCGCGUUCCACGGGUGCAUCUCUGUUUAGAUUUACGGCAGGAACUGUUUCGUCUGGACCGAAGGCCUGGGAAGAAGUUUUCGCUUCGGCGUUAGCUCCCGGUGUCCUGGCUCCGGACGAGACAGGCUAACUGUUGGACUUGUAUAACAAGCAUCGUCUCUGUUGCGGUCCAGCAUUCUCUGUCGAGUAGGUCGGCGUAGGCUUCGACCCGUCUUGAAACACGGAC
rnacentral:rRNA from 1 species